UAACGCGUGAGCAAUCUGCCUUUAAGAGGGGGAUAACAGUCGGAAACGGCUGCUAAUACCGCAUAAAGCAUCAAAUUCGCAUGUUUUUGAUGCCAAAGGAGCAAUCCACUUUUAGAUGAGCUCGCGUCUGAUUAGCUGGUUGGCGGGGUAACGGCCCACCAAGGCGACGAUCAGUAGCCGGACUGAGAGGUUGAACGGCCACAUUGGGACUGAGACACGGCCCAG
rnacentral:rRNA from 1 species